CACGCUGUAAACGGUGAAUGCUAGGUGUGGGGGGCAUUGGCCCUCCGUGCCGUCGUUAACACAUUAAGCAUUCCGCCUGGGGAGUACGGCCGCAAGGUUGAAACUCAAAGGAAUUGACGGGGGCCCGCACAAGCGGUGGAGCAUGUGGCUUAAUUCGACGCAACGCGAAGAACCUUACCUGGGCUCGAAAUGCAGGGAAAACCUCCUGAAAGGGGGGCUGCCGCAAGGCGUCCUGUAUAGGUGC
rnacentral:rRNA from 1 species